UGUUGCUAUGCUAAGAGAAGAUCGCUUUGUACCAUACGAAAUACUUAGUUACAGUAUCGUUUUAUAAAAUAUAAAGUUCCAAUUUCAUAAAAAAAAAUUAAUACGCUUUUUAUAAAAAUCAUAAUGUAAACAAUAAGUGGUUCAGUAUUUCGUCUUUUUUUUUAAUAGUAAAUUCACGUGACAAGUUUUAAAAUCGUGUACAAAGAAGUUGCCACACCCAUAAGUUGCUGUUCUGUUUUCUUACAAAAAAAUAAACUGAUAAAACUGUAAAUCUUUAUAAAUAUACCAAAGCUUUCAUGUCAUACCUGUCGCAACGAAUUCCAUGCUGCUUGCCUGUACAAAGAGUUCAGUACAAGUCAGAAAUCUACAUGUCCAAUAAGCCAAAAUAUAUUUUAAUUUAAACUAAAAAUUAAUUAGAAUUAUGAAAGUGAAAAAACGAUUAAUACAAUGUAAAAUAUAAAUAGGGGAGGGGGAGAGGGCAAAAGGAGGUACCUAAGGAAAUACUAAGUUUUUGAGGACUAAAAUACGCUAAAUCUUUUUGUUUUUAAUGACAUUCAAGGCAAAUAAACAAAAUUUUUAGCUGCCGUUAAUAAAUAAAAUUUUUAUUUUUGGCGGGCAAAAAGGGAUACCUUUAAAAAAAGUUAAAAAAAAAAAUUUUUGAAAGUUGAUCAAAUUUCAUUAAAUAAAAUUUUUUAUAUGUAAUAUACAUAAAGAAAAAUUACAUUUCACAUUAUUGGUGGAUGCGAAGGCAAAAAAAAAAUUUUUUGUAGGGCAGAAUGGCCUCCCUCCAAAAAAUUAUAAUUUUUUUUUUUUUUAAUUUUUUUCAUCAUUGAGAAAUGUUUGUCGUUAUUUUGAACCCAAAAAACGUGUUUUUUCAUUUUUUAGAUUACAGAUUAUUUUGCAUUAUUUAAAGAAUUUUAUCAAGAAAAAAAUAAAAUAUUAUUUUUGAAUAUUUUUAGUGGCCAAAUUUGCCCCAGCUAUAGAAAAUCUGCCGAAAAAUGGAUUAAUGUAUUAAAUUUUUUUUAAUUUGACGAUCAAAAUUUGAAAGAAUCAUUUGUUUGGAAUUUUCGGCUGGUUCAUUUUGCCCCAGGUGUCAUGCGUGGGGCUAAAAAUGCGCAAAUAUAUCGGAUUUAUAGUAAUUAGACGAAAAAAAAAAAUUUUUUUUUUUUAUAAAAUUUUUGGGGUACCCCGUUUGCUACCCUACCCUCUUCUGCCUCCUCCCCUCCCCUAUAUCAAUAAAAUACAUAGAAAUUAUUAAAUAACAUUUAUUAACAUAUAAUAUCCCUGGUUAGAAAAUCUCAUAGAACCUAUUAGAUUCUCAUAAAUUCCUGUAGAAAUUUUAUAAGAAUGAAUAAGUUCUAUGAGAAAUGCUAUAGUCAAGUAUACACCUUUAUACGUACACUCAGAAAAUCAAGUAAUUAUGUUUAUUAUGCUAAAUUUUUAAUUCCCUUCAUCUAGAAUGAUUGGAACGUUUUUCAAUACAAAAAGAAGUAGUGUUAUAAUUUUUUUUCAAUAGUAAUAAUAAUUGUUGGAUGAUAACUUCUGCAAUAAAUUUCGUAACAGUUACUAUUAAGAUGCUGUUACCAUCUGGAUUGUAAAUAUAACUAUUUAGUAUAAUAAUAAUAAUUAACUCUAUAGUUAACAUGCAGGAUUGUAAAAAUUAUUAUAAAUAUAGUGAAUGUUACAAUCUCGAUGAUUUAUACAAUCAUCUAGAUAAUAUUCACUACUAUAGGAUUGAUGCCAGAAAUUUUACCAUAACUUGAUAGUAAUUCCUAUUACUUAAUUUUCUGAGUAUACAGCUAUAAGAAUCUUUUUGGUUUUUUAACCCUUCAGCACUCGCGUUAGAGCAACGUAAAACAUUACCCGCGUGAUGAGAGAAAGUCUCACGCUUCAGCGCACCGUAAAUUUUAAGUUAAAUACAAUAAAAAUAUUAUGCACUUUCCUAGUUAUGACGUAACUAUAAUUUAUUUGAAUAUUUCGCUUAUUUUUAUUUUUAAAUUUUCUAUAAUGUAUACGGAAAGAAAAUUAUGGCAGCGGUUCCCAUAAUUCUGUGAAAUUUUUUCCUAUACCAUCAUAGGAAUUACGACCAUAAAUUAUGGGAGCGGUGCCUAUAAUUAUAGGAAUGUUUCCCAUAAUUAUAGGAAUAGUUCCUAUAAUUAUGGGA